GUGGAAAGUGUAGCUGUUUUACUUGCUAAUGCUGCCUCUCAUGUGUUGUUGCUAUCCAUAUACAAUGAAUCCCAGAAUCCUAGAAUAGCCCGGUACUAAAGCUAAGGCUAUUUACCAGAAAUUGGGCUGGUUGCCCAUUGUUCUUAACAUUGAUGGGAGAAGGCAUUAAGAUGAUUAGCAACAGCUUACCAUAUGAAGGCAGUUAGAUUUCUAGAAUACUGUCCCCUCCUAGGUGUGCUUACUGUUUACUUUCUUGCUAUUUUUAACUGUACCUGGAGUAUUCACUCCCUGCAAAGUUUACCUUUCUUUUCCAUGUAGUUCCCAACGUGUUCUGCUUUCGGGCACUCCAAAAACUUAGAGAUACUGGAGAUGAUGGUAAUAUUGCUACUAAACUUGUGAGGAAGGCAGUAACCCCUACAAAGUGAUGCUGGGGUAACCGCUAUCCUAAGGAGGAGGUUUGAGUAUGAUAUGAAUUCUGUAAAUGAGGUGAAACUAUUCCAUGCAGGAGGGAGCUUUAAUACACAGAACAAGGCUAAGAAGGAAAUCUGCAAAUCACUGAAGCAGACCUGUGAUACUGAGUACCUGAAUGUCAGAAAAAUAGUAAUCUUAUAAAAGAAUACAUAAUCUUAUAGAAAGAAGAUAAAACCUCAUGCAUUCACAAUUGGCCAAAUAAAUAUUUAUGUAAGCACGUUUGGAAAUGUUUA
rnacentral:lncRNA from 1 species